GGCGAGGCGGGCGUGCUUGAUCUCGGCGAGCUUGAGCCGGUCGAGCUUGUCGGUGUCCGGGAUGUAGACGCCGUCCCUGGUCUCGCCGCCGAGGCCGAGCGGGUCGAAGAACUUGCCGCCGGGGUAGCCCUGCUCGCCGGUGGCGUUGGAGAAGUUCUCGGCGGUGCGCGACCACGGCGUGGCCCACUCCACCGCCUGCGAGUCCGGGUUGAAGAAGUCGACCCACCGCUUGGACUCUACCCAGCCCAUGAGCAGCAGCUGCGUCCCGAGGAGGGAGCCGAAGGAGAAG
rnacentral:misc_RNA from 1 species